rnacentral:tRNA from 1 species
GGUGCUGUGGUCGAGGGGUUAAGACACAUCGUUGUGGUUAUAUCUUGAGAUUUCCUCAGUGUUCCGAUGUAGCCCCGGUUCGAGUCCGGGCAGCGCCA